GUCACGCUCUGAAAUCCGUCCCUAACCUGCUCCAGGUCAUCAUUUUGACAUCACAAGAUCCCCUUGCGCCGCUGCAGUGCAUUUUAACACCUCAUACUAUUAUCCCUGGAAAGGGAAGUUCUACUCAAAUCCCAGGAGUGCUUUAAACUGUACUUCCUAGGUUAAUUAGCCUCCCGCAAAGUUCUUCGCGCUACGUUCCCCACCCCCCCAAGGGGGAGGUCUCUGCAAAGCAAAAACAAAAACAACAAACAAACAAGCCAACAACACAAAAAACAAAAACGUCCUCCAGUGGACCAUCCACCUUGUCUACAGCACAGAGAAAGCACAGCUGUGUCUACAGCACGGAGAAAGCAGAGGUUGCAAGAUUUGGAAAUGGAGGGUGGAAUUUCCUUUCUUUACAGGAGGAAGAUGGAUCAGUGAGGACGUGGUGGGCCGGUGAGCCAUCAUCUCUUCCAGCCAUGGAUUCCUGCGCCACUGGAAACCCUACCACAGAGCAGCUACGGCAGGAAUUAAGAGGACAUCAAAACCUCAAACAAGCUACACUCCUGUGGGUUGGGGAGAAACAAGACACUUAAACAUUCCUGGUAUGGUUUCCUUGGAAACAUUCAUAACAACAACUCAGUAAUACUAUGCGUUUCUGUUUUCUUAACCCUUCAGGCCAUCAAUUGAAUGAAAACUUCCUUGAGGAAAUACUUCAACUGCCUAGGUGGACUGGAAGAAAUUAAACUCAGUGACGGGCGGCCUUCUGACCCCGUGGUGUAGCCC
rnacentral:lncRNA from 1 species